GCUCCGGUGGCUUAGUGGUUAGAGCGUCCGCCUCAGAUGCUGGAGGUCGUGGUUCGACACCCCAGCCGAGCCA